rnacentral:rRNA from 1 species
UACGGAGGGUGCAAGCGUUAUCCGGAUUUACUGGGUUUAAAGGGUGCGUAGGUGGGUUGGGAAGUCAGUGGUGAAAUACUAUAGCUUAACUAUGGAACUGCCAUUGAUACUAUCAAUCUUGAAUGUAGUGGAGGUAGGCGGAAUGCGUCAUGUAGCGGUGAAAUGCUUAGAUAUGACGCAGAACACCAAUUGCGAAGGCAGCUUGCUACACUACUAUUGACACUGAGGCACGAAAGCGUGGGGAGCGAACAGG